rnacentral:lncRNA from 10 species
GAGACAGCAUCUGGCUCUGUCACCCAGGCUGGAGUGCAGUAGCGCAAUCUCGGUUCACUGCAACCUCUGCCUUCCAGGUUCAAGUGAUUCUCCUGCCUCAGCCUCCCAAAUAGCUGGGAUUACAGGCAUGUGCCACCAUACCCAGCUAAUUUUUGUAUUUUCAGCAGAGACGGGGUUUCACCAUGUUGGCCAGACUGGUCUCGAACUUCUGACCUCAAAUGAUCUGCCCAUCUAGGCCUCCAAAAGUGCUGGGAUUAUAGGUGUGAGCCACUGCGCCUGGCCCUUGGUAAACACUUCAAAUGCACCCAACAUUAAAGUAAAAAAUAUCAAUGAAAUCUUAAAAAAUGCAGCCUGGGCAACACAGCAAGACCCCAUCUCUCCAAAAAUAAAAAUAGAAAAAAUUAGUCAGGCAUGACAACGUGCUUCUAUAGUCCCAGCUACUGGAGAGGCUGAAGCAGGAGGAUCGCUUGAGCACAGGAAGUCAAGGCUGCAGUGAGUUACGAUCUCAUCACUGCACACCAGCCUGGGCGACUGAGUUAGCACUCUGUCUCUAAAAUAAUAAUUUAAUAAUAAUAAUAAUAAUAAUUCACACGUUUUUCUGUAGUAUUCGCUUGUCAAAUGAAGUUAAAUGUGAUGUAUGUUACAAUGUAUUGUGUGGCAUGUGUGAUAUUAUCUCAUUGGAUUAGAAUUAUUUAUUCUCCAUUUGCUUUUCUGUUUAAGAAUAAGCUCCUUCAGGGCAGGGACAGCUCUUAUUUCCUCUGUGUCUCCUAGGGCCUGGCACAAUGUCUAACACAAGGAAUGCUGAGCAAAUUAUUUAGUGCAUGAAUAUUUGCUCCAGGAAGAUGAGGCCUAAUACCAUGCAGAUGGUUAUUACAUGUCAAAAUAAGAAUAAUCCCAUUUUUAUAUUCUCUUUCCCUCUUCCUCUGAUCUUUCUCCUCUCAAAUAUUUUCAGGCUGGAAUUCAGGGAUUGGUUCUGGAGUUAUCUUUAUGGUUGUAGAACCCCUAGAGCUGAGAACACACAGUGGUGCCAUUUAGAGAACUGACUGCCCCAGUAGACUCCCAGAAUACACUGGGACUCCCAGAACACUGGAUCAUGCGGCAGCCUUAGCCAGGAGCCUCAUAAAGUGUGUGUGUGUGUGUUUCAGUGGUGUGAAGUCAGCUGGGGAAUGCCAGGUGCCCACUCCCCAACUUGGAAUUGCAGAUCUCUAGCCUGCUGCGUGGCUGUAGCUCCCUUCCUCCUCCUUCUUUUUCUCCCAACAUUGAGAAAGCAGUAUGCUGCCUAUUUCAAAGAGUAUAAUAGCUCCACAUUUUUAUGCUUCUUUUUGGAGCAAUUAGAGUGCAGAGGAGGGUCAGCAGAGGGUAAGAGCGGAGAAAACAGCUGAUUCCUGAGCACUAAGAGGUCCCAAGCCACCCAGCCCCCCUCUCCUGCACCAACCAAGCCUGCACUUGUCACAAAGUCAGCCCUGACAAGUGCUCUGCCGCCGCCGCUGUGCUUGGGUGGAGUAGAAACGGAGGGGAGAGAGGGAGGGAACUUCAUUCUUUCCUGGCUUAAAAAGUCAAAGGCUCUGUAAGGCAUGCAAAAGGAAGAAAGAAAUUGUCCUGCUUGGCCGCAUUGCUUUCCUUUCUUGACCAGUUCUGCCCACACCCAAUAACCCCAUGCUUCUCUGCCCAGCCUUCCUCCACCUGGGCCCGGGAAGGGAAAUGGGACGCCUGCUCCUCCUCUGCUCACCCAUCCCCAGCCUUUCUGCCAGCCUGGGUGUCCCACAGCUGACCGGCCUGCAAACAGGACUCUAUCUGCAGAAUCCACCCCCUCCCCCUCAACUCUAGCAUUAACCUUUCUCUUUCUUUCAACAAAAGCCAAACUCUUUCAAAGCCAACCUGAUUGAAAUUCAAAAACUUUCCAGGGCCUCUGCACCACUCUCUACUCCUCCCCAUACUGACAGCCGCUGGUCACCCCCCCACACCCUUCCCACUCCCCACCCCCAGCAAUGUAGAAAAUAGCGGGACAAAGGGCUCUCCCCACCCCCUCCCCCAAGCACAAGACUCUCCCUUUGUGUCACUGUGUCACUCGGGCUGGUGGAAAGGGAGAGCUGGCUCUGGGCUCUCCUAUUGUCUCCCGAUACCCCCACCCCCACCCCCACCCCCACAGCCUUCUGCAGCCUGGAGGCCUUGUGCUGGGUCCCGCUCAGUUGGCCAAAUCGAGGGGCCUCUAUGGGGCCCCCAGGCCCACUCUCUGACAGGACAGAAGAGCCAAGGGCCCGUCUAUGCCCGAAGGGUGCUUCGCCCCUGGCUCCCGAGCCCCACGUUGUGGACUCCAGGGUGGACCUGGAGCCGCAGACCAAAGCUGGCUCCCUUAUUUUCCUGGACACCAGAUGGAGCUCCUCCCUCCCUCCUCUCUCUUUAGAGACUCCCUCCCUCAGCAGCAGCGGCAAUUAGAAUGGUCUGGCAGGCUCUGGGGAGGGGGAUGCCCAGGUGGUGGCCAGGAGGCUAUUAGAGAAUGGAGACAGGCAGCCUGGGACACCUCCUUGUACAGAGCUGCAGCCGCUGGGGAGGAAAGGUCUAAACACGCUUCCAUUAAUUAAUUAAUUCAACAAGUACUCAUUGAGCACCUAUCAUACACGCUCAUUGGGGAAACAGCAGUGAACAGAACAAAGUUCUCCUUGCAGCGCUUACAUUCCAGUGGGUGAGACAGACAAUCAGCAAAUCAAUACAUAUUUCAGACACAAGUCCACCCAGAAAAAGAGAGCAAGACAAGGAGCCAGAGAGUGCCAGGUGGGGAGUAUGUGAGAUGCGGGUGGCAGCGGGGGUGUGUUAGGGAAGUCUCCAGAUACAGGCAGAAUUUAGACAUAGGAAGGAGCGUCUGAGAAAAGAGACUUCCAGCCCAAGGGAACUGCAAGAGCAAAGGCUCUAAGCUGUUAAUUAAGGAACUAAAAGGCUAAGGUGGAGACCCAAGGGCAGCGUGUGUAGCCUGUGAGCCCAGAGGGCAGGGAGGCCAGAGAGGGUAGGUCUCUCAUGCCUGUAGAGAGGUUUGGAUCUUACUUUGAACGAAUGGCAAGCCAGAGGAGUCACAGAAUUUGAUUUAUGUAUUAAAAGGGCCGGAACAAGGGUAGAAGCAGGAAAACCUAAGGACUCUGUUGAAAUUGUCUAGGUGAGAGAUAGUAGUAGUGGCUUGGUCCAGGGUCAUGUGGUAGAGAUGGAGAGAAGCUGUCAGAUUUGGGAACCAACAGGAUUUGCUGAUAGGCAGUAUGAAUGGUGUGGGAGACCAGAGUCCAGGAUAACUUCAAUGUUUUGGCCUGAUCCAACUGGAAGACUGGAGUGGCUAUUGACGGGCAGGGUAGAGAUAAAGGACAUAAUCAUUUGAUCCUGUGCAGUUAGAAUAAGGAGUUCAGUUUUGGACUUAACAUUUGAGCUGCCUGUUAGACAUCCAAUUGGAGAUGUCCAGUAAGCAGUGGAGUUGGUGAAUUUGUAGUUCAGGGGAGAGGUCUAGGCUAGAGAUAUAAAUUUGGGAGUCACCAUGGAGCUGGUAUGAAGCCCUGGAGGGAUCACCUGGGAAGGUAGUGCGGAUAAAGGAGAAGGGAAAUCUGAGGACUAAGUCAAGGGUACUCCAAAGUUUAGCAUCACUGAAAGGAGGAGGAACCAGCAAGAGGAACAAGCAGUGAGGAAGAAGGAGAACCAACAGAGGGUGUGUCCUAGAAGCGGAGUGAGGAAAGUGUUUCUAGAAGACGGGAGUGACAGAUUGAGUAUGAUAUGCACUGAGGACUGGCUGUUGGAUUUGGCAAUAGGGAGGUCACUAGUGACCUGGACAAAAGCCAUUUCACAGGAAGGAUAGGGAAAAAUCUGACUAGUGAGGGUUCACCUGAGAAUGAAAGGAGAGGGGGUGACCUAAAGGGGAACAGAGAAAUGGAGAGGUAGCUACAGGGGGAAAUGGAAGGCUUUUAAAAUAGAUGGUAAAUAUUUUUGCACGUUUGUGUGCAUCAGAGCUUCCAGCAGAAAGGGAAGCUCUGAUGGUGAGAUUCAGGGAGACAAUUACUAGAAGAUAAUCUAAGCUACAUUAGGAAAGAAGUUAGGUGAGAUGGGGUGGGGGACAUGAAAGGCAGGCAGGGUCAAUAGGGUGCAGUCCUUCCCAUUGGAGUUGGAAUUGGGUCACUACCAGGAGUAAAUUGGCAGUUGGAGAGCAGGAUGUUUAAGUUGGUUAUUAGGAAGGGGUAUAAUUACUGGUAAUG